GAUGAACGCUGGCGGCGUGCCUAAUACAUGCAAGUCGAGCGAACAGACGAGGAGCUUGCUCCUCAGACGAUAGCGGCGGACGGGUGAGUAACACGUGGAUAACCUACCUAUAAGACUGGGAUAACUUCGGGAAACCGGAGCUAAUACCGGAUAAUAUAUUGAACCGCAUGGUUCAAUAGUGAAAGACGAGUUUGCUGACACUUAUAGAUGGAUCCGCGCCGCAUUUGCUAGUUGGUAAGGUAACUGCUUACCAAGGCAACGAUGCGUAGCCGCCCGGAGAGGGUGAUCGGCCACCCUGGAACUGCGAUACGGUCCAGACUCCUACGGGAGGCAGCAGUAGGGACUCUGCCGCAAUGGGCGAAAGCUUGUCGGAGCAACGCCGCGUGAGUGUUGAAGGUCUUCGGAUCGUAAAACUCUGUUAUUAGGGAAUAACAAAUGUGUAAGUAGCUAGGCACGUUUUGACGGUACCUAAUCAGAAAGCCCCGGCUAACUACGUG
rnacentral:rRNA from 1 species